rnacentral:tRNA from 1 species
CAGAAAAUAGUUUAAAAAAUAUUAAUUUUGGAGAUUAAAGAUGGGUAGUUUACCUUUUUCUGA